CAGUCCUCCUCCCAUCCAGCCCAUCACCAGUCCUCCUCCCAUCCAGUCCAUCACCUGUCCUCCUCCCAUCCAGUCCACCAUCCAGUUCAUCACCAGUCCUCCUCCCAUCCAGUCCACCAUCCAACUCACCACCAGUCCUCCCAUCCUACCCAUCACUGAACCACCUCAGCAGAAACGCAAUAUGUCUGCAAACAAUAAAAAGAAGCAGAAGAAUUCUGCAGCCUCAGACAUGUCUACAAGGAAGAAACUGAGGGGGGAAAAAAUCACCCAAAGAAUGUAACCAUGGGAUCUUAGAAGGGGAACCUUACUAACCAGUGAAGAGGGUGAUCCACUGCAAAAUGCAGAAGGGGAUCCAAAUGAAGUUGGUGGAAUGGGAGCCCUGUUCACUCUGUGGGAAAACUUGGCCGCCACAGUGGGUGACGGAGGAGAACACCACAAAUUAAGGAAAUGUUCAAUCCCAUUGUUUUGUUCCAUAAGCUAUGUGUAUGUUGUUUACAGUAUAUUAAAAAAA